UUAUAUGAUGUGAUGGUGUCUGUUAAACUUUGGAGAACAGAGAAGACUCCAGUACAAACAACACACACCAUGUUCUCUACAUCUCUACUGCUCCUGCUGGCAGCUGCUUCUUAUGUACAUGGUGAGGAACUGACUCAGCCUGCUUCCAUGACAGUCCAGCCAGGCCAGAGUCUCUCCAUCCACUGCAAGGUUUCAUAUUCAGUUACAAGCUAUGCUACAGCUUGGAUCCGACAACCUGCAGGAAAAGCUCUGGAGUGGGUCUCACUUAUGGGUUAUAGUGGUAACACUUACUACAGUGAGAAACUGAAAAGCAGGUUUCAGGUUUCCAGAGACACGUCCAGCAACACAGUGACAUUAACAGGACAGAACAUGCAGACUGAAGACACAGCUGUGUAUUACUGCGCUCUCCCCUUCAAAUUUCAUAUGGAAACUCCGGCAGUCUUGGGCUCCUCCCCGUCUUUCAGCACGUUCUUCAAUCCGCAGACUGCGGCAUCACAGAGUGAGGAUCAGAGGACAAGCAAUGCCUCAUGUCUUCUGAAAGCCUAA